AACCGUCGAUUGGUGCUGACAAGUCAAGGAUGGAAUCCAGUUUUGUUAUCCCCGUGAAAAGUGCAAUAUAUUCCAAAGAUGCUAUCUUCAACAAAAAAAAAAAAAAACGAACUUGGCUGGAUCCUGUUCUGGUGCUGGCAAAAGCCGGAGAAGAAUUCUGUCUCUUGGAGUGAGGUGUCCAUGCAGCAGUAUUUCCCAUAACAUACCCCUUCUGAUGCGCGCUUGCUGUUCUCUAUGCUGACUUACUCCCUUCAUUGCUAUUUGGUUUUGUAAUAAUCCCGCUUUCUUGGGUUUUCAAAAAUUUUGUUGGAGGAUUCCAAUGAGGCCUGCUAUUCCCUACAGUUACUGUAUUGUUAGAAAUCCAUAACAAACAGCGCCAUGAUAUUCAGAAUCAUCUAUCAUCUAUAAAGUUAAAGAUACAUGUACAUAUAACCCUUUGACACGGCGGUUGAUCAUCGUCUCGGCAUAUGAAGAACUCACAUUCCAUUAGUUUUUGGACUGAAAAUGAACCAUUGGCGCGUUCCUAGCAUUCACUCAUUCUAUGAUCUAGGCGUCACAUUCUCAGGGAGAGUUCCUGGAGUUACAGUUCCUGGGUCAGAUCAUCAAGAGACCUGUUCCGGCUCUAAGGAGUGCUUUAUGGGCUCCUAGACGCGAACUUUUACGGUACUAAAACAGAAAACGAUCACACGGUUUUCAUGGCGAGUCCAUGGCGGGGGAUCCAGACGGCUACGCAAUACGUGAUGAUGUUUAUGGGUAAUGUGCUUACAGAAAGGCAUAUAAAGAUAUUCUGGAGAUAUUCUGAAUCA
rnacentral:sRNA from 2 species